CCUACGGGAGGCAGCAGUAGGGAAUCUUCCACAAUGGACGAAAGUCUGAUGGAGCAACGCCGCGUGAGUGAAGGAAGGUUUCGGCUCGUAAAGGUCUGGUGGUCGGGGAGGAAGAUAGAGGUAGUAACUGUCUUUGAUUUGACGGUACUUACUUGGAAAGUCCCGGCUAACUACGUGCCAGCAGCCGCGGUAAUACGUGGGUGGCAAGCGUUGUCCGGAUUGAUUGGGCGUAAAGGGAGUGAAGGCGGUUCAAUAAGUCGGAUGUGAAAGCCUUCGGCUCAACCGGAGAAUGGCAUCAGAAACUGUGGAACUUGAGUGCAGAAGAGGAGAGUGGAACUCCAUGUGUAGCGGUGGAAUGCGUAGAUAUAUGGAAGAACACCAGUGGCGAAGGCGGCUCUCUGGGCUGCAACUGACGCUGAGGCUCGAAAGCAUGGGUAGCGAACAGGAUUAGAUACCCUGGUAGUC
rnacentral:rRNA from 1 species